CAUUCCUGGUUUUUAUUUGCAAAAUGCAAAGAAUGUCCUUUUUCGUGUGGAAGAAGGAAGUUUGGGACUGAGAAUCUCUCUUUCUCUUUCUCUCUCUCUCUCUCUCUCUCUAGAACGGCUUAUUCUCAUUUCGCAUGGAUAUGCGAAUGGAUAUUCCACGGAGGAAAAAGAGAAACUUCCAUUUACCGUGUGUUUCUGAGAUUUUUACGACUGGUCGGUGCUUGUGUAGAGAUUAGGUGUGGUGAUUCCUGCACCAGCAUGGGCCAAUAAGAUACAUAAGAUGGAGUUGGCUCGUCUUCCAUUUCUCCCUCUAAUUUCCAACCCAUUUCAUUUAAUCUAGCUACCCCUGUCCUCCACAAGAACCAACGAUUGCUUGUCCAUAGCAAGUUGAAAUCUAAAACCACUGCACUUUCAAAAACCAGAAGUGGUUGUUGAAUAAGAUGGAGUUGGCUCGUCUUCCAUUUCUCUCUCUAAUUUUCAACCCAUUUCAUUUAAUCUAGCUACCCCUGUCCUCCACAAGAUCCAACGAUUGCUUGUCCAUAGCAAGUUGAAAUCUAAAACCACUGCACUUUCAAAAACCAGAAGUGGUUGUUGAAACUCACAGUCAAUGCCCAAAACCCAAAACCCAAAACCCAAAAUCCAAAACCGUCUCCUCAUUCCUCACUCUCAGAACUGGAAGAAGAAAAACAGAAGAAAACGAAACGAAACGGGAACACUCCCUCUGGGACGAAAGCUACUGGAAGCGGUGAAACAACUUAUUCAUUAACAGAGCUCUACUACUCCGUUCUUCACUCUCGACUUUCAACCCUCCUUGCGAAAACCAGAGCUUCAGCCCUCUGCCUCUCUCAGAACUGUCUCUUGGAAGAAAGCUACUAGAGACGGUGAAGCCACUAUCGCAGAAACUGAAACUCCAUCUCCCAACAUAUUCAUACCAGAUUCAUGGUCUCAAGAAGCUUACUCCAUUGCGGAGUGAUCAAAUCUAUCAGAAAAAAAGCUACUCCUGAAGGUGUCGAGGAACUAGAAGAUGGGCGGCAAGGGAUCGCAUGAAAAAGCUCCUCCUCAAGGUUCUCAACAAGAUCCUCCUCCUGCAUCUUCUCAGCCUGUUCCCCUCCCUGCUGCUCCCCCUGUUUCCUCAAUUACGUUUCAGAGGGCUGAUGGAAGCAAACAAACCAAUACAAUGUCGGAAAAUUCCAAAAUCGUGAUGGAAAUUGUCGGUGAGCAGACGAACAGCAUGUCUGGAUCUUCAGAGGUUCGAAUGACAAAGACAAUAAAAGUAGUGAUACAAGGGAAGAAAACUGAUUACAACAAAUGAAUCUCCUUUUGCAGAAGGCAGGCGAUGUAUGGAUGCCACCGCGGAGAGAUCGCUACUCGGUCUCAUGGUUACUGUACCAGCAUGGGACCAAUGAGAACCAUACAAUCGGGCUUUCUGUUCUUUUUCCCACAUUAAAAUGUUCAAUAUGGUAUAAGAGCUUUGAUCAAAAUCAGUGUUAAUUUGGGUCAAAAUGUUGAGGAGAAAUGUAGAAUGAAGUGUUUGCGGAGAGGGGAGAAUUGGAGAGAAAGUUGAAAAAAAUUAUAAGAAUUAGGUCUGAAUUUUUCUCCCUUAGCCUUCUUGGCUUGAAUUUUCUCUAUCAGCCUUGGAUUCUAAAGCCCACAGAGGAAAGGAAAGCCAGUUAACAUCAAA